AUUGAACGCUGGCGGCAGGCCUAACACAUGCAAGUCGAACGAGUGGCGGACGGGUGAGUAAUGUCUGGGAAACUGCCUGACGGAGGGGGAUAACUACUGGAAACCGUAGCUAAUACCGCAUACCAUCGGAUGUGCCCAGAUGGGAUUAGCUAGUAGGUGGGGUAAAGGCUCACCUGGGCGACGAUCCCUAUAUGUGCUGAUAGGAUGACCAGCAAUCCUGGAACGGAGACACGGUCCAGACUCCUACGGGAGGCAGCAGUGGGGAAUAUUGCACAAUGGGCGCUAGCCUUAUGCAGCCAUGCCGCGUGUGUGUAGGAGUCCUUCGUGUUGUAAGGUACUGUCAGCAGGGAGGCGUUACCCGCAGAAGGAGCACCGGGUAACUCCGUGCCAUGAGCCGCGGUAAUAC
rnacentral:rRNA from 1 species